AUUGAACGCUGGCGGCAGGCUUAACACAUGCAAGUCGAGCGGAGAGAAGUAGCUUGCUACUGAUCUUAGCGGCGGACGGGUGAGUAAUGCUUAGGAAUCUGCCUAUUAGUGGGGGACAACAUUCCGAAAGGGAUGCUAAUACCGCAUACGCCCUACGGGGGAAAGCAGGGGAUCGUCGGACCUUGCGCUAAUAGAUGAGCCUAAGUCGGAUUAGCUAGUUGGUGGGGUAAAGGCCUACCAAGGCGACGAUCUGUAGCGGGUCUGAGAGGAUGAUCCGCCACACUGGGACGGAGACACGGCCCAGACUCCUACGGGAGGCAGCAGUGGGGAAUAUUGGACAAUGGGCGGAAGCCUGAUCCAGCCAUGCCGCGUGUGUGAAGAAGGCCUUUUGGUUGUAAAGCACUUUAAGCGAGGAGGAGGCUCUUAAGGUUAAUACCCUUGAUGAGUGGACGUUACUCGCAGAAUAAGCACCGGCUAACUCUGUGCCAGCAGCCGCCGUAACAC
rnacentral:rRNA from 1 species